GCAAGGGUUUUAGGUAAGCGUAUCUCGUUAAGAUGAACGAUAUAUGAAAAUGGGUACUCGAAUGCUUCCGUUGGAGGGGAAUGUACCAAUGUGGAAGGAACUCGUUCUUGAGGGAGAAAAUUACUGAGAUUCCAAGUGUGAGUUCAAGUCUUACAUUGGAUAGAAAUGAGAAAGUGAAGCAGCAUAUAAAGGUGAAGACUCAUUAACACAUUGUCUUAAGGUUUUGGACUUAGAUCCCUUAUGUGGUUGGACUUAGAUCUCACUAGUGUUGUAUCUCUCCAAUGAACAUCCUCCUUAAUAAACCUAACACCACCAAAAUACAUCAAAAUUCAUUUCAUAUCAUUUAAAUUAUAUAUACCUAGAUUUAGCAAAAUUUGGUUCAUUGUACCAAUAACAUGUGCAAUAUUUGCUCAAGUUCAUACCACUGCAUUCAUCAAAAUACCCACCAUAAAUGCAU
rnacentral:lncRNA from 1 species